rnacentral:rRNA from 1 species
AAUAUUGGACAAUGGGGGCAACCCUGAUCCAGCCAUGCCGCGUGUGUGAAGAAGGUCUUCGGAUUGUAAAGCACUUUAAGUUGGGAGGAAGGGCUUUAGGUUAAUACCCUGAAGUUUUGACGUUACCAACAGAAUAGUCACCGGCUAACUCGGUUCCAGAAGCCGCGGUAAAAUAGAGGGUGCAAGCGGUUGUAGGAAUUACUGGGCGUAAAGCGCGCGUAGGUGGUUCAGUAAGAUGGGUGUGAAAUCCCCGGGCUUAACCUGGGAACUGCUUUCAUAACUGCUGAGCUAGAGUACGGUAGAGGGUAGUGGAAUUUCCUGUGUAGCGGUGAAAUGCGUAGAUAUAGGAAGGAACACCAGUGGCGAAGGCGACUACCUGGACUGAUACUGACACUGAGGUGCGAAAGCGUGGGGAGCAAACA